rnacentral:rRNA from 1 species
UACGAAGGGGGCUAGCGUUGCUCGGAAUUACUGGGCGUAAAGGGCGCGUAGGCGGAUGUUUAAGUCGGGGGUGAAAGCCCAGGGCUCAACCCUGGAAUUGCCUUCGAUACUGGACAUCUUGAGUGCGGGAGAGGUGAGUGGAACUCCGAGUGUAGAGGUGAAAUUCGUAGAUAUUCGGAAGAACACCAGUGGCGAAGGCGACUCACUGGCCCGUUACUGACGCUGACGCGCGAAAGCGUGGGGAGCGAACAGG